rnacentral:rRNA from 1 species
UACAGAGGGGGCAAGCGUUGUCCGGAUUUAUUGGGCGUAAAGCGCACGCAGGCGGUCUCUUAAGUUUCGAGUGACAGGUGGUGGCUCAACUGCCACAGGCCUUGGAAAACUGGGAGACUUGAGGACUUCAGAGGGAUGCGGAAUUCCAGGUGGAGCGGUGAAAAUGCGUAGAGAUCAUGAGGAAGACCAGUGGCGAAGGCGGGUCUCUGGACAGUUCCUGACACUGAGGCACGAAGGCCAGGGGAGCAAACGAG